GGUUGACCUCGGAUCAGGUAGGGAUACCCGCUGAACUUAAGCAUAUCAAUAAGCCGGAGGAA
rnacentral:rRNA from 2 species